AGAUACCCUGGUAGUCCACGCAGUAAACGAUGAAUACUAGCUGCCCUUUGGGGGUGAGCCUUGAGUGGCACAGCGAAAGCGUUAAGCAUCCCACCUGGGGAGUACGCCGGCAACGGUGAAACUCAAAGGAAUUGACGGGGGCCCGCACAAGCGGAGGAACAUGUGGUUUAAUUCGAUGAUACGCGAGGAACCUUACCCGGGCUUGAAUUGCAGAUGACGGAUCCAGAGAUGGUGACUUCCUUCGGGACAUCUGUGAAGGUGCUGCAUGGUUGUCGUCAGCUCGUGCCGUGAGGUGUCGGCUUAAGUGCCAUAACGAGCGCAACCCCUUUCGUCAGUUGCCAUCGGGUAAUGCCGGGCACCUCUGGCGACACUGCCGCCGGC
rnacentral:rRNA from 1 species